GUUGCCGGCCAUAGGGUGCGGGACCCACCCGAUCCCAUUCCGAACUCGGAAGUUAAACCGCGCUCCGUUUCCGGUGUUAGUGUGGUCCUCGGCCACGUGAAGCCAGAAAAGCUGGCAGCC
rnacentral:rRNA from 1 species